UCCAGCUCUUUCAGUAAUGUGUUUUGAAUUAGCAUGCUGAUUUGUCAUGACGUUACUUGUCUUUAUAUUAAUCAAUAUACAGUUCACUUCCACACGUCAGACAACUUUUACUUUGUAGAGAUCUUGUACACGCUUCAGUAAUAAAAAAUAGCCUAAGCAGAGAGGAGCAGAGAUUCAAUCAUUAGACUUUCAGGGCACGUAUAAUUUCUUAUUUUUAGCUAUUAGCCCAUCACCCUGAUGACACGCUUCCAGUUUUUGUUUGGGACAGAGAGUGUUUACACAAUAAUUAGUUAUGAUUGCUGCUGCCGCUAGCGGCUGGUAGAAUCGCUGAGGUGCCAGAGGGAGGGCGUGCGUGUCUUCAGCGGGACGCAGAAAGAUGGCAGAGCUUUUGUGGCAUGGCCACACGCCCCACGGUUCAGGAGCUGUGGCAUCGGCACGUCUGGCAUCCCGUUCGUUUGAAGGAAGGGCACACGGUCUGCAUGGUGAUACGGCAUCCGCGUAGCUGGGGGCUGGAAGCACACGGCCGAGCAACCUGAUGCUGCUAUUAUCGUCUGCUCCGAUAACAACGUGCAUACUGAGCAAAGAUAGUAUUUGUCCUUUCCCUAGGAGGUAGUUUUAACGCACGGUUGCUGUGUUCAUCCUGCGACGUAGAGUAUUCAUGUUUCUAAUUCCAGGCUCUUCGGUCUCCUGCCAGAGUUCGAAACCGAGUCCACAGCAACUCAUUCCGCUAGUGCCUCUUUGGCUAAGAACGUACUGACAGUGCUUGCGACGUUUUGUGAUAGUCUCUCACGUAGGACAGAGGUAGAAUAACAAUGGGCUCAAUAAGACCUGAAACUGGUGAAAGUUGUCUUUAUUUUCCUGAAUUUCUGUAUGUAAAGGCGAUCUGAAAACGCACCCAUACAGCUGAAACACGACUCAUCCUUACUCUGGCAUUGUUCUUUCAUCGUUUACAAGAAGAUGCUCACUUCUGAGUUUUAGCCAUCAUUUACCAAAGAUUUUGUAUGUCAAGGAGAAUAGUAAAUCCUUUAAUGGCUCCAGCUACCAGAGAGAAUAAGCCCCUAACAUAACCAAAACAUAAAAGGAUUUAUCAUAAAUUAAAUUAAAUUGUCCAAAGUCUGCUCAUCAACAGAUAUGAAGGAACAGACAGAAGAAAUAAAUCAAUUUAGCAUCUUAGUAGACCA
rnacentral:lncRNA from 1 species